GGAUUGCUAGAUGUCAAGGCUGAUUUCACUGGACGAAACUUUUUGCUCGAUAAACUCGUAGAGAAUGCGAUGCAACAUCGUCGAUAGUCAUCACUAUUGCUCGCUUGGUGAUAGAGGAAACAUACAUAUCCAUCUUCCUUGCAAGCGUUUGACUUUGGUAGACGAUCGAGGAAAUUAUUUUCGUUAAUUUAUGAUAAAAUUAAAGCAGAAGAAAAAGAAGUGAAAGUAAAUAGCGUAAUUUCUUGCCGUUCAGAUUUCUCUUGGACAAAUCGAAUUGGAGAGAUUCGACUUUGGUAACUUCACUUUUCCGUAAAAGCGUAUCGUGUAUUUUUCGAAACGUUUAAAGAUCGAUAAUCAAAUUUGUACAAGAAUGUACGAGAGCUCGAGGAAAUGUCCGAUUAUAAAUCGAUGAUUUUUACAUGACAGCACGCAGACUUAAACAAUUAUAUAAUAAUUGUAUCUUAUCUACUUGUUAGAAGAAAAAUUUACUGCAAGAGAAUUCGUGUGAAAAACAUACAAACUCGUUCUCUCGCUAACAUGUACGUAUAUAAUAAAUAUUUUAUCACUGUGUUGCAAAGUGAAUCAUUAUUUACAUAGCAGGAUUGUGAUCGACAUUGCAUGAUUAAUGAAAAUCGUUCAACGAUGUAUGUAAAUUGACAUGUAAAUGAAAAUAAAUUAUUAAUUUAUUUUGUUACUCUAGAUCAAGCAUCAUGACAAAUAAAAUACGUCCAUUCGUGUAUUAUAAUACCGAUAUACAUACAUAAUAACUGCUUCAAGGUUUCUAUGAUGUAUAGUUCGGUUACAUAAUAAUUGCAUGUUUAUGCAAAUGUUUAGAUUAAAGUUAGAUUAAGUUUAAAUUACAAAACGGGAGGCUCAUAAACAUUUAGCUUUUCUUAAGAAAAUAAAUAUUAUUGACGAUACAGGUAGUAGUAGUGUAAUAACGAUACAAUGCGUAUAAACAUAGGUGAUAAUUAACGUACGAGUUCUCUCGCGAUUUAUUUGAAUCGUACUUCAGGAACUGUAUCAGCGUUUCCUUUCUUGCUCGCGCAAACGGGUUUUCUGAAUUGACCGUGAACGUAAAACGCAAUUUAGAGCGAAACUGGUCUCCAGUGCAUUGUGAUAAUCGCACAAUUAAAAAUCUCAAGAAAAAAUAAUUACGCGAUUGUAAUCGAAGGUUGCGAAUUUCUUGAAUGUAUAAUUGCAAAUUAUAUCCAACGUUGAGGUAAUUUAAAAUGAAAGUAAAUUAGUGGCACAAAGAAUGUAUCGUUAGAUUUUUGCACCGUAUUAACGGAACUUUGUCAAAAUGUAUUAUUAAAUUAAUAUAAUUUAAUCGAUUACGAUGUAUACGAAGCAACAAUUAAUUUUUUACCAAAGUUUCUUCAUUUCGUUUCGGUUUACGUUUCAACGACGUUGCGGAAAUUCCGAAGAAAAUUCAUGUUUUAAGAACAAAGCUGACGAUAUACGGAAUAAAA